rnacentral:rRNA from 1 species
GUCUAAGGCCAUAUCACCCAGAAUGCGCCCAAUUUCGUCUGGUCUUGAAAGCUAAGCAGGGUCGGGCCUGGUUAGUACUUGGAUGGAAGACAGAUCUUCAAAAGAGAUUGCUCAGAGA